GCCAGAUCACACAGGUAUAUGGAUUCUAUGAUGAGUGCCUACGGAAGUAUGGUUCAGUAAAUGUUUGGAGAUAUUGCACGGAUAUAUUUGACUAUUUAAGCUUAUCCGCUCUUAUUGAGAAUAAGAUAUUCUCUGUUCAUGGUGGUCUCUCUCCUACAAUAUCUACAUUAGACCAGAUUCGAACUAUUGAUCGGAAGCAAGAAGUUCCUCACGAGGGUGCCAUGUGUGACCUACUAUGGUCAGAUCCAGAGGACAUCGUUGAUGGAUGGGGAUUGAGUCCUCGUGGUGCAGGUUUCCUUUUUGGUGGCAGUGUUGUCACUUCAUUUAACCAUACAAAUAACAUAGACUACAUAUGCCGUGCACAUCAGUUAGUAAUGGAAGGAUAUAAAUGGAUGUUCAAUAAUCAGAUAGUUACAGUCUGGUCUGCUCCAAACUACUGUUACAGAUGU
rnacentral:misc_RNA from 1 species